UCAGUCACGCGCGUACGCUCAUGUACGAGAGCCACGCGUCCACUCACAACCGCCCACUUCCCUUAUCCUCUCUCAUGGGUGCUGCUGGCCACACAAUCAAUCCACAUCCAUCUUUUUCUUCCACCUCCUGUGACGCCGCUGCUCCCACCGCUCCACCUCUUAUUACUCGGCUGUCAUUUGGUGUGCCACCGCCGCGAGCGUUGCCGUGGAGCCGAAGCGGCCACCAGCAGAUCAGCAGCCGUGCCUGCUACUUCGGAGGUCCUCACUUUUUUGCUGCAAUCGGUUUGUGGGAAGCUGCAACCGGCCGUCUAGGAGCUGCGACCGGCGACGGCCACCUGCGGGAUGCGGCGGCGCUGGAAACGGUGACAUCAGGGAUGCUGGAACCCGUGGUGUUUUUUGCUGCUACCAGCUGUAAUUUUUGCUGGAACUGGCUCGGCGAAGAUUAGCCGCGGGCGGGGGUGGCCGGCAAGCACGGGCGGCGCGGGGGUGGCCGGCAAGCAUGGGCGCGAGCGCGGGGGUGGCCGGCAAACAUGGGCACGAGCACGGACGGCGCGAGUGUGGCCGGCGAGCAUGGGCGCGAGCACGGACGGCGCGAGGGUGGGCGAGCACAGGCGCGGAUGCGGACGGCGCGAGGGUGGGCGAGCACAGGCGCGGAUGCGGACGGCGCGAGGAUGGCCGGGGAGCACGGGUUCGAGCGCGGGCGGCGCAGGGUGGCCGGCAAGCAUGGAUUGCGCGAGACAGGCGGCGAGCAUGGAGAUCUCCCUUUUUUCUUUUUUCUUCACGCGUGUGUGGAAGGGAGAAGACGACUCAAUCGCGCUAUCCAGACCGUUUAUUUGUACAGGAUCCAACGCCUGGCAGCGGACCGGCCGAAACUUCGGCCGGUGCGCCGGCGCCUAGCGUGGGAAACGUUUAAAUCCGGUGGACCGGCCGAAGCUUCGGCUGGUCGACUCGCUCAGUCACGCGCGUACGCUCAUGUACGAGAGCCACGCGUCCACUCACAACCGCCCACUUCCCUUAUCCUCUCUCACAGGUGCUGCUGGCCACACAAUCAAUCCACAUCCAUCUUUUUCUUCCACCUCCUGUGACGCCGCUGCUCCCACCGCUCCACCUCUUAUUACUCGGCUGUCAUUUGGAGUGCCACCGCCGCGAGCGUUGCCGUGGAGCCAAAGCGGCCACCAGCAGAUCAGCAGUCGUGCCUGCUACUUCGGAGGUCCUCACUUUUUUGCUGAAAUCGGUUUGUGGGAAGCUGCAACCGGCCGUCUAGGAGCUGCGACCGGCGACGGCCACCUGCGGGAUGCGGCGGCGCUGGAAACGGUGACAUCAGGGAUGCUGGAACCCGUGGUGUUUUUUGCUGCUACCAGCUGUAAUUUUUGCUGGAACUGGUGUGUUCUUUUUCCUUGGAUCGGUGUCGGCGGUGAUUUUCUGCUGGAACCAAGUUCUAUUUUUGCUGGAACCAGUGAUAUGUUUUCUGCUAUGGGAGGAAUUUUUUGCUGGAACUGGUGUUUCCUUUGCUCGAAUCGGUGCCAACGGUGAAUUUUGUUGGAACCAAGAUGUUUGUUUUGCUGGAAACAUAGAUGUGUUUUGCUGCCACCGACGGUAAUUUUCGCUACAUGGUACUACCAUCGUCUCUGAAUCUUGCUGGAACCAAGAUGUUGUUUUGCUGGAAACAGAAAUGUGUUUUGCUGCUACUCGGUAAUUUUUGCUACUUGGUAAUACCAUCGUCUCUGAAUUUUGUAAGAUCAAGUACUCUUUUUUUUGGUACCAUUGCUUUGCUUUUUGCUGCAACCAAAUGAUUUUUUUGCUACCACUGUCUUUGAGUUUUGCUGGAACCAAAUGAUUUUUUUGCUACCAUUGUCUUAGUUUUUGCGGGAACUAGCACCUAUUUGUUCUACUAUCAUCUUUGGAUUUUUUGCUGGAAGCGUCGUCGAUUUUGCUACAACCGGCAAAUGUUUUUGCUACGUCCAUUCAUGACGAAGAUUAGCUACAUCCUUUUUUUCAUGGUGUUUCUGCAGGCUCGGCGAAGAUUAGCCGCGGGCGGGGGUGGCCGGCAAGCACGGGCGGCGCGGGGGUGGCCGGCAAGCAUGGGCGCGAGCGCGGGGGUGGCCGGCAAACAUGGGCACGAGCACGGACGGCGCGAGUGUGGCCGGCGAGCAUGGGCGCGAGCACGGACGGCGCGAGGGUGGGCGAGCACAGGCGCGGAUGCGGACGGCGCGAGGGUGGGCGAGCACAGGCGCGGAUGCGAACGGCGCGAGGAUGGCCGGGGAGCACGGGUUCGAGCGCGGGCGGCGCAGGGUGGCCGGCAAGCAUGGAGAUCUCCCUUUUUUCUUUUUUCUUCACGCGUGUGUGGAAGGGAGAAGACGACUCAAUCGCGCUAUUCAGACCAUUUAUUUGUACAGGAUCCAACGCCUGGCAGCGGACCGGCCGAAACGUCGGCCGGUGCGCCGGCGCCUAGCGUCGCCCAAAAUCGUCCUAUACCGUGUGGUAUGCGCGUGCGGUGGAGUGUAGGUGUAGUGUGAGAAGCUCCUAGCGUGUCGUCUUGUGUCUCAAAAAGAAAUGCAGUUCGUACUGAGCAUCAGUGACAAAUGUUCGAUCGAGCUUACCAACACGUCAUUAUUCAUACG